CCCUUAGAUGUUCUGGGCCGCACGCGCGCUACACUGACGAUGGCAACGAGUUUUUCCUUCGCCGAAAGGUGUGGGUAAUCUUUUGAAACAUCGUCGUGCUGGGGAUAGAUCAUUGCAAUUUUUGAUCUUGAACGAGGAAUUCCUAGUAAGCGCGAGUCAUCAGCUCGCGUUGAUUACAUCCCUGCCCUUUGUACACACCGCCCGUCGCUACUACCGAUUGAAUGGUUUAGUGAGGACUCCUGAUUGGCGCCGCCGCCCCGGCAACGGAGCAGCGGACUGCCGAAAAGUUGUUCAAACUUGAUCAUUUAGAGGAAGUAAAAGUCGUAACA
rnacentral:rRNA from 1 species